rnacentral:rRNA from 1 species
CACGUAGGGGGCAAGCGUUGUCCGGAUUUAUUGGGCGUAAAGAGCUCGUAGGUGGUUCGGUAAGUCGGGUGUUAAACCCCCAGGCUCAACCUGGGGACGCCACUCGAUACUGCUGUGACUAGAGUCCGGUAGGGGAGCGUGGAAUUCCUGGUGUAGCGGUGAAAUGCGUAGAGAUGCGGAGGAACACCGAUGGCGAAGGCAGCCCCCUGGGCCAACACUGACGCUCAGGCACGAAAGCGUGGGGAGCAAACAGG